rnacentral:lncRNA from 1 species
GAGCUGAUUCAAUUACACUUGGUUUGCUGGGUCCUCUUCCACGCGUACUGAAACGGCCACGAGGUGCUCCUCUAUCUGAGGAACGGCCACGAGGUGCUCCUCUAUCUGAGGAACGGCCACGAGGUGCUCCUCUAUCUGAGUAACGUCCACGAGGUGCUCUACCAGGUGCUCUGUUUGAGGAACGCCCCUCAUCACUAUCUCUUGGUCUAGACUCUUCCACAUGUAUGUUCCAUCCUCCAAUUUCACUUCCCCUCAGUUGCAACGCCUCAUCGAAUCCACUCGUCAAAUCUAUGUAGGCCAACCUGAAAGAAUAACAAGAAAACUUCAAUGACCAUCUUUAUCAUCAUCAUCAUUAUCAUUCACAACGCAGGAAAGAAAAAAAAAAA